UACGGAGGGUGCAAGCGUUAAUCGGAAUUACUGGGCGUAAAGCGUACGCAGGCGGCUGUUCAAGUCGGGUGUGAAAGCCCAGGGCUCAACCCUGGAAAUGCGCCCGAGACUGGAUGGCUUGAGUGCGGGAGAGGGAAGCGGAAUUCCUGGUGUAGAGGUGAAAUUCGUAGAUAUCAGGAGGAACACCGGUGGCGAAAGCGGCUUCCUGGCCCGACACUGACGCUCAUGUACGAAAGCGUGGGGAGCAAACAGG
rnacentral:rRNA from 1 species